rnacentral:rRNA from 1 species
UACGGGGGGGGCAAGCGUUGUUCGGAAUUACUGGGCGUAAAGGGCGCGUAGGCGGGAUGGCAAGUCGGUCGUGAAAUCCUUCGGCUCAACCGAAGAACGUCGAUCGAUACUGCUGUUCUUGAGGGUUGCAGAGGAGACUGGAAUUCCCGGUGUAGCGGUGAAAUGUGUAGAGAUCGGGAGGAACACCGGUGGCGAAGGCGGGUCUCUGGGCAAUUCCUGACGCUGAGGCGCGAAAGCGUGGGGAGCAAACGGG